UUACGGCCAUAUAGCGUUGAAACACCGCUUCGCGUACGAUCACCGAUGUUAAGCAACGUCGAGUCUGAUCACUACCUAGAUAGGUGACCUCUUGGGAAUACCAGGUUCCGUA